GGACACUGACUACAAGCCAACUCAGAUUACACCAUCAUCCCGUGAUGAGGAAGAUUUGAAAAGCCGAGACAUAGCUUCAUCAUGUGAGAAACUGUCCAGUGAUGAAGAGCUCAAAGGUCCAGACAGUGAAGAUGAAGCUGAAAGUCAAACAUCGACUUCUGUGACUGUCCCACAGAGGGAAAGGAAACGCGACAGAGAGGUGGUUGAAGAUGGAGGUUCUGACCUCUUCUCCCCGAAAAACAGACAUGACCAGGGCAGUGAGGAUCGGGACUCAGAUAUAGAGGAUGGAGGUUCUGAACCCCGUGUGGAUUGGAGUUCAGAUAUAGAUGAUGAAAGCCCAGGACCAAACCUGGCUAAAAGACAGAAGAAAAGAAGAAAAAGAAGGCGGUGGUGAAAGAAAGAGAUGGAGAGGCUGACCACCUCUCCCCCCAAAAGACUCUUGAGCACUGCAGUGGGGAUGGGACUUCAGAUAUGGAUGAUCAAAGCCCAGGACUAAACCUGGCUAAAAGACAGAAGAAAAGAAGAAAAAAGAAGGCGGCGGUGAAAGAAAGAGAAGGACCCAAAGUACAGCUGAAGAGGCCAUGGAGUGAAGCAGAGAGGAUUGCUGUCUACAAACAGUUGGGAAAGUUUAUGGCAGAGCGGCGAUUUCCAGGUAAAGAGGACUGCGUCAAAUGCAUAACACAAGACAAAACCUUGGAACAAAGAUCCUGGAAGGAUGUUAAAAACUUUGUGUAUAACACAAUUGUGACUCUUAAUCGAAGAUCAGCGUCACGGAAACUUCAGGUCUGAAGACGUCAUUUUGCAUUGUAAUUCAAUGUUCUACUUUUAAUGUCGUUGGCAUGUUUGAACAUUGUUAGUUUUGGUGCCGUUUGGUUAACAGUGGUGGAAUGUAACUGCACAUAUGCUCAAGUACUGUACUUGCACUUUAAUUGAGUAUUUCCAUUUUUUUAUCUUUACUUAAGGUUUUGAAUACAGGACUUGUAGUGGAGUAUUUUCAAAGUGUGCUGUUAGUACUUUUUCUUAAGUAAAACGUCUUCCACCAUUGUUGGUUUGUGCACAUCCUGAGUUGUGUCUCAGUUAACAAAUCAAAUAAAUCUAGUUUUGUACACUGGAGAUGGCAUUCAUUGCAGCUUUAUUGGAAGUUGUAUGAUACUGAUGUUUAUUGCUAAAGUUUGGUUCACUUUGGUAAAGCAGUAAUUGUAUUUUAAAAGUACAUGUGUAUUUUUGUACAGCAGUCUAAUCAAUGGUCACAACAUUAAUUUUAGAACACUUCAAGACUGAUUUAGUAUUACAUUAUUUGUCUGUACUAAAACAUAAAAUGGUAGCAAGCUAAAGACAGAAGGGCCAUUCUAUAUACGAAAAACUAAUCUAUUCUGAAACGAACCCAAUAGCGCCCCCAUGAAAAGGUCCUCGCUCCAGUGGUAAAAUGCUUUAAAAAAUUAUUUGUCUGUUUAAAGAAGCUGAGGUGGAAACUGGAGUCAGGGAGCCACCUAGUGCUGAAAUGCAGCAUUCAUUUGUCUCUAAGUAUAGCAGAAAGGGUGGUCCUCACCUCCUAUGUGAAUUUAUUUGGACCUCACUUCGGUGCAUAUACAGGAAUGUGUGUGUGUGUGUGUGUGUGUGUGUGUGAGAGUGUGUGUGU